AGAGUUUGAUCCUGGCUCAAAACGAACGCUGGCGGCGUGGAUAAGACAUGCAAGUCAAACGAGAGAAUUGCUAGCUUGCUAAUAAUUCUCUAGUGGCGCACGGGUGAGUAACACGUGAGUAACCUGCCCCCGAGAGCGGGAUAGCCCUGGGAAACUGGGAUUAAUACCGCAUAGUAUCGAAAGAUUAAAGCAGCAAUGCGCUUGGGGAUGGGCUCGCGGCCUAUUAGUUAGUUGGUGAGGUAACGGCUCACCAAGGCGAUGACGGGUAGCCGGUCUGAGAGGAUGUCCGGCCACACUGGAACUGAGACACGGUCCAGACACCUACGGGUGGCAGCAGUCGAGAAUCAUUCACAAUGGGGGAAACCCUGAUGGUGCGACGCCGCGUGGGGGAAUGAAGGUCUUCGGAUUGUAAACCCCUGUCAUGUGGGAGCAAAUUAAAAGGAUAGUACCACAAGAGGAAGAGACGGCUAACUCUGUGCCAGCAGCCGCGGUAAUACAGAGGUCUCAAGCGUUGUUCGGAAUCACUGGGCGUAAAGCGUGCGUAGGCUGUUUCGUAAGUCGUGUGUGAAAGGCGCGGGCUCAACCCGCGGACGGCACAUGAUACUGCGAGACUAGAGUAAUGGAGGGGGAACCGGAAUCCUCGGUGUAGCAGUGAAAUGCGUAGAUAUCGAGAGGAACACUCGUGGCGAAGGCGGGUUCCUGGACAUUAACUGACGCUGAGGCACGAAGGCCAGGGGAGCGAAAGGGAUUAGAUACCCCUGUAGUCCUGGCAGUAAACGGUGCACGCUUGGUGUGCGGGGAAUCGACUCCCUGCGUGCCGGAGCUAACGCGUUAAGCGUGCAGCCUGGGGAGUGCGGUCGCAAGAUUAAAACUCAAAGAAAUUGACGGGGAGCCGCACAAGCGGUGGAGUAUGUGGCUCAAUUCGAUGCAACGCGAAGAACCUUACCUGGACUUGACAUGUAAUGAACAACAUGUGAAAGCAUGCGACUCUUCGGAGGCGUUACACAGGUGCUGCAUGGCCGUCGUCAGCUCGUGUCGUGAGAUGUUUGGUUAAGUCCAGCAACGAGCGCAACCCCUGUUGCCAGUUAUCAGCACGUGAAGGUGGGGACUCUGGCGAGACUGCCCAGAUCAACUGGGAGGAAGGUGGGGACGACGUCAGGUCAGUAUGGCCCUUAUGCCCAGGGCUGCACACGUACUACAUUGCCCAGUACAGAGGGGGCGGAAGCCGCGAGGCGGAGGAAAUCCUAAAAACUGGGCCCAGUUCGGACUGUAGGCUGCAACCCGCCUACACGAAGCCGGAAUCGCUAGUAAUGGCGCAUCAGGUACGGCGCCGUGAAUACGUUCCCGGGUCUUGCACUCACCGCCCGUCA
rnacentral:rRNA from 1 species